rnacentral:lncRNA from 1 species
CUUUGCUGUGUUGUCUCGCAAUAUUACUUAACAGCCUUAAUGCAAACAGAAUGAAUGAUUUGGAGUUGUUUUUUUUAGUACUUCUUUUCACUUUGUCAUACAGGCCAGCAAUGUGGAGAGGAUGCAAUGUUGUUAAUCGUCUCCAUUUUCAAGUAUUGUGGUUGUAGCAUCAUGUUAUAGAUCAUGAUCACUUAUGUUAGCAAAAUAACUUAUAUUCCCAGGGCACAUGAGUGGAGAAACUUGUUAAACAUGAAAUACAGCAACAUUUCUGACAUUACCCCAUCCUGCCCUACCUUGUGUGAUGGGUUUAUAAGGACCUGUCUCCCAGUCCAGAUACCACUGCUGUUCAUCUGCCUGUCUACCAGACCAGCCCAGAGUACUGUACCACUGCUGUUCAAAUGCCUGUCUAUCUGUCCAGAAUGAAGCUUAUCCUGACUCUCUCUCUCAUCUGCACUCUCUUCUGCUCAGUUGAGAUGCUGCAGUGUUUCAACAACUCAUUUAUAGUCAACUGUUCAGCCCCUUUCGGAGAAACAUGUCUCACUGCAACCAUCAAUGCAAAAGGUCUCAUCAAUUCAACCCAGGUAGUCAAGGAGUGUUCCCCAAUCUUCAGCUACGGUGAAGCCACAGUGUCAGUGAACCUGGGCUUCUUACACAUUGCCUCUAACCAGUUAUUUUGUAACAUCGAUGGGUGCAACAAACAAACUCUACAGUCUGCCCCCAAUUUGGCUAAUGGAAGACAAUGUCCCUCCUGCAGCAGCUUCAGGGAUACGAUGUGUAACAGCACUGUGACCUGCCUGGGUGUGGAAGACCAGUGUUUUAGCGGCAGUGUAACACCUGGCAUCAAUUCUACUACGGUGAAUCUCAAGGGCUGUACAACUUCCAACGUGUGCAUUUCCAUUUAUCAACUGCUGCCCUCAAUAACUCAACUGCUGCCCUCAGUGAAUCAACUGCUGCCCUCAGCGAUUAGCUUUAGUGACCUCAAUGUGUUCACCUGUAAGACAGCUCCUGUAACUGUAACCACAGCUCCUGUAACUGUAACCACAGCCUCUGUUAUUGUAACUACAGGCCCUGUAACAGCCACAGCCUGGUCCAUCAGACUGAGCCUAGUCCCUCUGCUGCUGGGCCUCACUAUCAGCAAAUUAAUCUGA